rnacentral:rRNA from 1 species
AUGGACAAUCCAAAUGUUGUUGCCCAAGCUCCAUGCUCCGCUCCAAAAUUGCUCUUGUCAUCGCCGGUGGUGGGCUGGCGCUCCGUCCCCGCGUCGGCCAUUGUUGUUGCGGUAGGAGUUGCCGAGCAUCAUCAAGCCGUUGAUGUGUUGGUGUUGCCAGGCAUGUCGGUGCAGCGUGGCCGGUGCUGUGGAGGAAGUAGUGUUGCGCCCGUGGACGGUGGAUCUCUGCGGCGCCAGAGAUGCUUCCGCGCAGCACGCAUGGUGUUGCAUCCUCUUCAGAUCUCGGCGGGCGGCGGAGCUACAGUACGACACUUCGGUGGGCGGGGAGCUGCAUCGAAGCGCGGUGCAGCGGGUGUGGCGGAGCUGCGGUGCAGCGUUCAUGGUGAUGCGUCCGUCUCAUCGCCGGCGCAAGGCGGAGCUGCAGUGCAGCGCGUCGUGCUGCGACGGGUGGACCUCACCGGCGAUGGGAGCUGCAGUGCAGCGGACCUCACCGGUGCGGCGGAGCUGCAGUACAACGCGUCGUGCUGA